AAAAGAAUAAAAUGUACAAAAUGAUAAUAAUAAACACAAUGCAAGAAUAAGUAAACGAUCGUGCAAUGAAAUAAUAUACAUUAAACGAUCCUAUUAACCGUGAUAAACGACCAUUUAACAACGGUAAAUGAUAAUAUUGAUUAAAAUAAAUUAUCGUGUUGACAUGGGUACACGAUCAUAUGAUAUUGGUGAUCGUAUUGAAUAGUGUAAACAAUCGUCUUGUUAUCGGUACACGAUCGUGUUAAUAUUUGUAAGUGAUUCUAUUGAUAGUGGUAACUGAUCGUGUAAUUCCAUGUAAACUAUCGUCAAAAACUUUAAACUAUCGAUCUUUAUAAUGAAGUACAUAAUUCUUACAUUAAUACUUAAAAUUUGUUGUAACGACCAACUUUUCUAACUAAGUUGAAGUCAUUAAUUUUGACAAAGAGACCUUGAUUGACACAAAAUAUAGUAAAAUUCACUUGAAAUCAUACGAUCAAAGAAAACAAACUUAAGUUCGGGUCCUAUUUCAAAUAACCAAAACUUUAAAAGUACUAUUUACAAAACAACAGUUCGUAAACUCAGUUCCAUCACAAAAUUUUUAAACAACCUCAUGUACAAAGGAAAAACAAGAAACAUAAAGCGGAAGCAUUUGAAGGACAUUCCCUUAUGGCAAUCACGUCUCCUUUUUGUCCCUCGUCGGUCUACCUCCUUUGUUACCUUUGCCUGAAAUAGUUAAACAUGAAAGGAUGGGUAUAAACAUACCCAAUAAGAGACUCGCUAUUGUCCCGUUAGGGGAAAAAGUAACUGUUAACUUCUAUUGGGUACCUGCACAGUCACAAUCUUGUGAUCCCGUAGGAUACACAUAAUCAGUCUAACGCCUCAAAGGACGCAUAAAUCAGUCUAGUGUUCCGCAGAAACACAUAUCAGUCUAAUGCUCCCGAAGGAUGCACAUAUCAGUCUAGUGCUAUCGAAGGAUGCACAUAUCAGGUGGUGAUCCCGUAGGACACCUGCAAGGUAACUACCCAAUAGAAAUCUAACAAUUUUCCCCUCAAUCCAUUCUAAACAUCUUAACACUCAUUCAUAGUACAGAGAACUUCAAUAUAAUCAUUAACACCCUAAUCAACCUAUCUCACUUUAGCCCAAUGUCCGCCAGUAACAUAUCAAUACAUCAGUCAAUCAAACUAUAUAGUCAUAACACCCCUCAAUUCACCAGUACACAACCAUACUUUAGUAUAACAUACACCCAAUCUAAACGACAAUCACAAGUUCACAUCCAUUCCAUACAAACACAAUCUACAAUUGUCGUCCUGUCUACAUCCAUACAUACAUAUAUAUAUAUAUAUAUAUAUAUAUAUAUAUAUAUCCCAGACAAUCACAAUAUGCAUUCAACAUCAAGUCUACAUCAAUCCAUGUAUAUAUAUAUUUUUUCAGUCAUUCACAGUAUACAUUCAACACCAAGUCUACAUCCAUACGUGUAUAUAUCGUUUCGACAUCUUUACUCAAUCGGAGGUAACUAUACAGACAGCACAAUUCAAAACUAUAGGUGAGUCCAGUAGUAGAGAAUCCCUUACCUUAUCACCUUACUUAAGCUUCUUUUUCAAACUAAAGUGCAACGAACCGACCUAAACAUAAUUGAAGAGAAAUCAAUCACUUCCACAAACAAUUUAAUCCAUUCAAUUCACUCUAUAUGUAAAUUCCAUAACUUACCCAAAUUGUGGAGAAUCAAAUUCUAACGGAGACGGAUCGGUGCAACAAAUAACCGAACAAUUCAGAUCUAAACAUACAUGGCGUGACAGAACCGGAGUGACUCGGGCUAACGGUGAUGCGACGAUAGGACAAAAUUUGCUUGACGUUCGGUGUAGGUGGAAGACGGUGGUGAAGUUGAUUGGAGAAGGAAAAGAGAAGGAAGAAAAGAGAUGGUGGUGUGGCCGUAGGUUGAAGAGGAUGAGAAAGGAAGAAGAUGAAUAGGAAAAGAGAAAAA
rnacentral:lncRNA from 1 species